rnacentral:miRNA from 1 species
GGGGUCUCCGGAGCUUCCUUAAAUACUUUAAGUCAUUACAAAAAAGUAUUAAAGUAGUAAAGUAUUUAAGGAAGCUCCGGAGACCCC